rnacentral:rRNA from 1 species
AUACGGAGGAUGCGAGCGUUAUCCGGAUUUAUUGGGUUUAAAGGGUGCGUAGGCGGACGAUUAAGUCAGCUGUGAAAUGCCCGCGCUUAACGCGGGAAGUGCGGUUGAUACUGGUUGUCUGGAGUGCCGUUGCCGUGGGGGGAAUGUGUCGUGUAGCGGUGAAAUGCAUAGAUAUUACACAGAACGCCGAUUGUGAAGACACCUCACGAAGCGGUAACUGACGCUGAGGCACGAAAGCGUGGGGAUCGAACAGGAUUAGAUACCCUGGUAGUCCACGCAGUAAACGAUGAUGACUAACCGUCGGUCAAGACUGAUCGGUGGCCAAGCGAAAGCGAUAAGUCAUCCACCUGGGGAGUACGACCGCAAGGUUGAAACUCAAAGGAAUUGACGGGG